UGACCAGGGAUGGGAAUCGAACCCACAAUGUUCCGCUUACCGGGCAGAUGCCAUGUCCACUAGGCUACCCUGCC